GCCAAAAGAAAGUCCAACCAACACACAAAAAAUCUAAAGACCAAAAAACAAAUCAUUUGACCAAUCAAGUAGAUGCGAUCGAACAAUACAUCAGGCACGAUAGCUAUAGUACCGUAAGGGAAAUAAACUAAAGCAAAAAAAAGCAAAGAUUAAAUCUUGUACCUUUUGCAUCAUGGUUUAGCAAGAAUCCGGGGCAAGACGACUAUAAGCCCAUAAUCCCGAAACCAAGUGAGCUACUUCAGAGCAGCCAAUAGGGCGAAUCCUUCUCUGUAGCAAAAGAGUGGAAAGACUCAGAAGUAGUGGUGAAAUGCCUAUCGAACUUGGUGAUAGCUGGCUACCCAAAAAUGAAUGUAAGUUCUACUUUAGAUCAAAUUAACACCAAAUAGUACUCUAAAGAUACUCAAUAGGGGUACAGCUCUAUUGAAACAGGAUACAACCUGACAUUGCGAGCAAACAUAACACUAACUACUACAAACAGUAGGCUUUAAAGCAGCCAUCUAAAAAAAUAUCGUUCAAGAAUUAAAAAUUAAAAAUAACAAACCUAAUCAUGUACUCCAAUUAAACUAAGGGUUAAUCUAUAAACAUAGAUAAGCUUAUGCUAAAACUAAUAAUAAGAAAAAAUUCUCUAAGCACGAUCAUCCGCUAGAAACAGAAAAUCUACUAGCAAUUAACAGACCAUAAGAGGAAAUAUAAUCAACCAAUUCACAACUUAUUAACAAACUGUGAAACCGACACAGGGGUGCUAAAAAGAAAGAUAAAACAUUACAAAAGGAACUCGGCAACCAAUGGCUCCAGCUGUUUACCAAAAACAUAACCUUUAGCUAAAACCAGUAUUAAAGGCAAUGCCUGCCCAGUGAGAACAUCUUUAACGGCCGCGGUACCCUAACCGUGCAAAGGUAGCGUAAUCAUUUGUCUAUUAAUUGUAGACCAGUAUGAAAGGCCACAUGAGAGCCAAACUGUCUCUUGUAAUAAAUCAAUAAAACUGAUCUUCUAGUACAAAAGCUAGAAUAAACAUAUAAGACCAGAAGACCCUGUGAAGCUUAAACUAACCCAUUAAACCACCUAAUGGCUACUUUCGGUUGGGGCGACCUUGGAACAAAACAAAACUUCCAAAAAACAAUGAGAACUACCUCAUAAAUCACAGGCCAACAAGCCACUAUACGACCCAGUAUAUCUGAUUAUUGAACCAAGUUACUCCAGGGAUAACAGCGCCAUCUUCUUCAAGAGCCCAUAUCAAAAAGAAGGUUUACGACCUCGAUGUUGGAUCAGGACACCCAAAUGGUGCAGCCGCUAUUAAAGGUUCGUUUGUUCAACGAUUAACAGUCCUACGUGAUCUGAGUUCAGACCGGAGCAAUCCAGGUCAGUUUCUAUCUAUAAAACACCAUCUCUAGUACGAAAGGACCGAGAUGAUAAAGCCAAUACCACAAGCACGCUUUAGGAAAAAACAUGAAUCAAUUCAAUAUUGAAAACCAUUAUAAAAUCAAGCCUAGAAAAGGCUAAUUAAGGAGCACACAAACCUUA
rnacentral:rRNA from 1 species